ensembl:lncRNA
CUCCAUCUCCCUGCUCUGAGUUUCAAAAUCCAGAGAUUUUGAGCCUGCGACGGAGAAGGCUCCAGUCAUCGGACCUUGUUUGGGGUGCUAUGCCGGCCACAGGCUGCUGCCACUGGCUUUUCUGGUGGAACUGCUUGGUUUUAAGAAACUUGUGUCCCGGAGACAGUUUCCAUCAAGUUCUCCACACCUGUUCCAACUGGAAAAUCAGCCUCAACAGACUGCUGAACUGAAAGCUACUUUUGGAGAUUUUUUAAUGCCUGUUCCUCGAGGGACCUUGGGAGGCAAUUAUGAAUCCAGAUGCUUUGUUUCCCUGGGAACUCUAGAAUCCCAGUCUGGGUCACGUGCGUUUGAUCAGCAGCUUGCUUCCAGUCUUCUGUCCCUUUGAAGCUUAUCUGUUGAAUCUAUGAGUGUUUUUAUAUUCGAUCCCAUGGAUAAGUCAGAUGAAUUCAAG